rnacentral:rRNA from 1 species
GAUGAACGCUAGCGGCAGGCUUAACACGUGCAAGUCGAGGGGUAGAAGUUGCUUGCAACUUUGAGACCGGCGCACGGGUGCGUAACGCGUAUGCAACCUACCUUUUACAGAGGGAUAGCCCAGAGAAAUCUGGAUUAAUACCUCAUAGUAUAUAAUCUUCGCAUGUUGGUUAUAUUAAAGUUCCAACGGUAAAAGAUGGGCAUGUGUCCUAUUAGCUAGUUGGUGUGGUAACGGCACACCAAGGCGACGAUAGGUAGGGGUCCUGAGAGGGAGAUCCCCCACACUGGUACUGAGACACGGACCAGACUCCUACGGGAGGCAGCAGUGAGGAAUAUUGGACAAUGGGCGCAAGCCUGAUCCAGCCAUGCCGCGUGCAGGAAGAAGCAUCUAUGGUGUGUAAACUGCUUUUGUACAGGAAGAAACACCCCUUCGUGAAGGGACUUGACGGUACUGUAAGAAUAAGGAUCGGCUAACUCCGUGCCAGCCGCCGCGGUAAAAC